rnacentral:rRNA from 1 species
CAGCAGCCACGGGAAUACAGAGGGUGCAAGCGUUAAUCGGAAUUACUGGGCGUAAAGCGCGCGUAGGUGGUUCGCCAAGUUGGAUGUGAAAUCCCCGGGCUCAACCUGGGAACUGCAUCCAAAACUGGCGAGCUAGAGUAUGGUAGAGGGUGGUGGAAUUUCCUGUGUAGCGGUGAAAUGCGUAGAUAUAGGAAGGAACAUCAGUGGCGAAGGCGACCACCUGGACUGAUACUGACACUGAGGUGCGAAAGCGUGGGGAGCAAACAGGAUUAGAUACCCGCGUAGUCCCUGUCUCUUAUAC